ACAAGGCUCUAUCCCGACACACAAGAACUGGGAGGGGAGGCUUCAAACCUCAGAAACGGAGUUAACUCUUGAGGUGACCAAAAUGAUGAGGAAUGAAUUCUUCUGCAUUCCUUCCAAGUGGCAGAUUAGAUCUUGACCUUAAGGGAGAGGAAUCAACAAAGGCGACAAUUCACUAUUGUGUGAACCAUGGCCCCGGAUCUCCUUCCCUCCCAGUUGGCUGUUUCUAGGCCUUUACAGCGCUGGGCGGGGUUGGAAUUUCAGCAAACCCCAAAUCAAGGGCUUUUCUAACACCGCAGGUGAUGCGACAGCAGCGUUGACCGAAUGACCGGGGCGGCAAGAGACCACUUUGGCGUACGGGUCGCGCUACGUCCCACAUCGGAGCUCUGGACAAACUGCCCUGCCUCCUCAGCCUUGCCCAGGAAGGAAGAGAAGAGACCGGCUGGGUAAGGAAAUCCCUCGGGCCCCGGACAUCCCCGGCUGAUGAUCGGGGGCCAAGCAAGAAAGUGAAAAAAUUAUUAAAAUUAAAACCGAAGAGUUACUUUGGCAAAAAUAAAAAAUACAACAGAAAAGCAAAAGAAUGGCGUCGAGCAUCUUGGUGUCCAAAUGACAACAGUUUGGAGAAUGCGUAAGACACAAAAACCUUGCAGAGUUGAACUGAUGAAAAAAGAAUCUGUCACAUAAAAAUCAAAUGAUAAGCUCAA